rnacentral:rRNA from 1 species
GACGAACGCUGGCGGCGUGCUUAACACAUGCAAGUCGAACGGAAAGGCCUGCUUUCCCUUGUGGAUUGCGGGUACUCGAGUGGCGAACGGGUGAGUAACACGUGAGUGAUCUGCCCCCAACUUGGGUAUAAGCCUGGGAAACUGGGUCUAAUUCCCGAUAGGACUGCAGGGUGGUGCCUGUGGUGGAAAACGAUUUUCUAGUGGUUGGGGAUGAGCUCGCGGCCUAUCAGCUUGUUGGUGGGGUAAUGGCCUACCAAGGCGGCGACGGGUAGCCGGCCUGAGAGGGUGGACGGCCACAUUGGGACUGAGAUACGGCCCAGACUCCGACGGGAGGCAGCAGUGGGGAAUAUUGCACAAUGGGCGGAAGCCUGAAGCAGCGACGCCGCGUGGGGGAUGACGGCCUUCGGGUUGUAAACUCCUUUCGACCGCGAGGAAGCCACCUGGUUGGAAGGGUGGUGACGGUAGUGGUAGAAGAAGCACCGGCUAACUACGUG